AUGCCCAGACCUGGAGGAUCCCCAGGGUCUUCUCAUGGUUGCAGCAGGAAGGACACCUCUCUGAGGAAGAGAUGGCCAGAACAUUUAACUGUGGGGUUGGCGCUGUCCUUGUGGUAUCAAAGGAGCAGACAGAGCAGAUUCUGAGGGAUAUCCAGCAGCACAAGGAAGAAGCCUGGGUGAUUGGCAGUGUGGUUGCACGAGCUGAAGGUUCCCCACGUGUGAAAGUCAAGAAUCUGAUUGAAAGCAUGCAAAUAAAUGGGUCAGUGUUGAAGAAUGGCUCCCUGACAAAUCAUUUCUCUUUUGAAAAAAAAAAGGCCAGAGUGGCUGUCUUAAUAUCUGGAACAGGAUCGAACCUGCAAGCACUUAUAGACAGUACUCGGGAACCAAAUAGCUCUGCACAAAUUGAUAUUGUUAUCUCCAACAAAGCCGCAGUAGCUGGGUUAGAUAAAGCGGAAAGAGCUGGUAUUCCCACUAGAGUAAUUAAUCAUAAACUGUAUAAAAAUCGUGUAGAAUUUGACAGUGCAAUUGACCUAGUCCUUGAAGAGUUCUCCAUAGACAUAGUCUGUCUUGCAGGAUUCAUGAGAAUUCUUUCUGGCCCCUUUGUCCAAAAGUGGAAUGGAAAAAUGCUCAAUAUCCACCCAUCCUUGCUCCCUUCUUUUAAGGGUUCAAAUGCCCAUGAGCAAGCCCUGGAAACCGGAGUCACAGUUACUGGGUGCACUGUACACUUUGUAGCUGAAGAUGUGGAUGCUGGACAGAUUAUUUUGCAAGAAGCUGUUCCCGUGAAGAGGGGUGAUACUGUCGCAACUCUUUCUGAAAGAGUAAAAUUAGCAGAACAUAAAAUAUUUCCUGCAGCCCUUCAGCUGGUGGCCAGUGGAACUGUACAGCUUGGAGAAAAUGGCAAGAUCUGUUGGGUUAAAGAGGAAUGAAGCCUUUUAAUUCAGAAAUGGGGCCAGUUUAGAAAGAAUUAUUUGCUGUUUGCAUGGUGGUUUUUUAUCAUGGACUUGGCCCAAAAGAAAAACUGCUAAAAGACAAAAAAGACCUCACCCUUACUUCAUCUAUUUUUUUAAUAAAUAGAGACUCACUAAAAACAAGACUAGUUAGUGCAGCAUAUCUGAGA
rnacentral:misc_RNA from 1 species